rnacentral:rRNA from 1 species
AGAGUUUGAUCAUGGCUCAGAUUGAACGCUGGCGGCAGGCCUAACACAUGCAAGUCGAGCGGUAGCACAGAGAGCUUGCUCUCGGGUGACGAGCGGCGGACGGGUGAGUAAUGUCUGGGAAACUGCCUGAUGGAGGGGGAUAACUACUGGAAACGGUAGCUAAUACCGCAUAACGUCGCAAGACCAAAGUGGGGGACCUUCGGGCCUCAUGCCAUCAGAUGUGCCCAGAUGGGAUUAGCUAGUAGGUGGGGUAACGGCUCACCUAGGCGACGAUCCAUAGCUGGUCUGAGAGGAUGACCAGCCACACUGGAACUGAGACACGGUCCAGACUCCUACGGGAGGCAGCAGUGGGGAAUAUUGCACAAUGGGCGCAAGCCUGAUGCAGCCAUGCCGCGUGUGUGAAGAAGGCCUUCGGGUUGUAAAGCACUUUCAGCGGGGAGGAAGGCGGUGAGGUUAAUAACCUCAUCGAUUGACGUUACCCGCAGAAGAAGCACCGGCUAACUCCGUGCCAGCAGCCGCGGUAAUACGGAGGGUGCAAGCGUUAAUCGGAAUUACUGGGCGUAAAGCGCACGCAGGCGGUCUGUCAAGUCGGAUGUGAAAUCCCCGGGCUUAACCUGGGAACUGCAUUCGAAACUGGCAGGCUAGAGUCUUGUAGAGGGGGGUAGAAUUCCAGGUGUAGCGGUGAAAUGCGUAGAGAUCUGGAGGAAUACCGGUGGCGAAGGCGGCCCCCUGGACAAAGACUGACGCUCAGGUGCGAAAGCGUGGGGAGCAAACAGGAUUAGAUACCCUGGUAGUCCACGCCGUAAACGAUGUCGAUUUGGAGGUUGUGCCCUUGAGGCGUGGCUUCCGGAGCUAACGCGUUAAAUCGACCGCCUGGGGAGUACGGCCGCAAGGUUAAAACUCAAAUGAAUUGACGGGGGCCCGCACAAGCGGUGGAGCAUGUGGUUUAAUUCGAUGCAACGCGAAGAACCUUACCUGGUCUUGACAUCCACAGAACUUUCCAGAGAUGGAUUGGUGCCUUCGGGAACUGUGAGACAGGUGCUGCAUGGCUGUCGUCAGCUCGUGUUGUGAAAUGUUGGGUUAAGUCCCGCAACGAGCGCAACCCUUAUCCUUUGUUGCCAGCGGUCCGGCCGGGAACUCAAAGGAGACUGCCAGUGAUAAACUGGAGGAAGGUGGGGAUGACGUCAAGUCAUCAUGGCCCUUACGACCAGGGCUACACACGUGCUACAAUGGCAUAUACAAAGAGAAGCGACCUCGCGAGAGCAAGCGGACCUCAUAAAGUAUGUCGUAGUCCGGAUUGGAGUCUGCAACUCGACUCCAUGAAGUCGGAAUCGCUAGUAAUCGUAGAUCAGAAUGCUACGGUGAAUACGUUCCCGGGCCUUGUACACACCGCCCGUCACACCAUGGGAGUGGGUUGCAAAAGAAGUAGGUAGCUUAACCUUCGGGAGGGCGCUUACCACUUUGUGAUUCAUGACUGGGGUGAAGUCGUAACAAGGUAACCGUAGGGGAACCUGCGGUUGGAUCACCU